ensembl:lncRNA
CAGGGAGGCCUUGUGUGCUGCAAUUCAUGGAGUCGCAAAAGUCGGACACGACUGAGCGACUGAACUGAACUGAUGCGUAAGGUAACAUAAAUGUAUGCAGAUUAUGUGAUAUGUGUGUAUACAUACUCAGUCAUUCAGUUGUGUCCAACUCUUUGCAAUCUCAUGGACUGUAGCCUGCCAGGCUCUUCUGUCCAUGGAAUUUUCUAGGCAAGAAUACUGGACCAGGUUGCCAUUUCCUACUCCAAGGGAUCUUCCCAACCUAGGGUUCAAACCCCAAUCUCUUGCAUCUCCUGUUGGAGGCAGGUUCUUUACCACAGCACCACCUGAGAAGCACCAUCAUGUGAUAUAGGAGUAGAAUCCAGAGGUGCUGAUUCAGUGUCAUGUCCAAGUACAUUUCCUCAGGAAGCUGAUGAGGUUAAACCGCAGAAUGACUGUAGGAAAUGUUAGAAAGCUGGAUCUGGUCUGGGCAAAUCUGUGGCCAGAAACCCAUCUCCUUCUGCUGAAGUUAAGUGUCAUGUAUGAGGAUCAUUCCUUGGCUAAAAUGUUAUUGAGAUGUUUCACAGAUCUUCCUUGCCAGGUACUCAUUGGUAAUAUCCUUUACGUAGACGAAGGAACAUCUUUUCUUAUUUCCAACAUGUCAUGCCUUAUGUUUGUGCAUGUGUGUGUGUGCACACGCGAGCUCAGUUGUGUCCAACUCUUUGUGACUCCCUGAACUAUAG